GCCGAAGUGGCGGAAUGGUAGACGCGCAUGGUUUAGGACCAUGUACCAGCAAUGGUGUGGGGGUUCAAGUCCUCUCUUCGGCA
rnacentral:tRNA from 1 species